GUAAUUAUAGCUUAAUGGUAAAGCAAAUGUUUGUGGUACAUAAGAUUAGAGUUCAAAUCUCUAUUAUUACC
rnacentral:tRNA from 1 species